rnacentral:rRNA from 1 species
CCGUAAGGCGCCGAAUGAGUCAUUAAAAAAUUAGCAUCGAUCCGAUCCCUAGUCGGCAUAGUUUAUGGUUAAGACUACGACGGUAUCUGAUCGUCUUCGAUCCCCCUAACUUUCGUUCUUGAUUAAUGAAAACAUCCUUGGCAAAUGCUUUCCGCAGUAGUUAGUCUUCAAUAAAUCCAAGAAUUUCACCUCUGACAAUUGAAUACUAAUGCCCCCAACUAUCCCUAUUAAUCAUUACGUCAAUCCUAGAAACCAACAAAAUAGGAUCGAACGUCCUAUUUCAUUAUUCCAUGCUAAUGUAUUCAAGCGAUUGCCUGC